CACGUAGGGUACGAGCGUUGUCCGGAUUCAUUGGGCGUAAAGCGCGCGUAGGCGGCUCGGAAAGUCGGGCGUGAAAUGCCGGGGCUCAACCCCGGGACUGCGUCCGAUACUUCCGAGCUGGAGGUAGGUAGGGGAGAUCGGAAUUCCUGGUGUAGCGGUGAAAUGCGCAGAUAUCAGGAGGAACACCGGUGGCGAAGGCGGAUCUCUGGGCCUUACCUGACGCUGAGGCGCGAAAGCUAGGGGAGCGAACAGG
rnacentral:rRNA from 1 species